rnacentral:tRNA from 1 species
GGUUUUAUAGUUUAUUUAAAAUAUUAAAUUGCAAAUUUAAAGAUACAAGGUUGUUGAAACUU